CUCUAUCUCGAUCCCAAAGCUCUCGGAACUUGCUCGAGUACCGCCGUAACCCCUCGAUCUCUCCGUGAAACAUUCGCACUUGGCAAUGGCACUGGUUAAGCAUGAACAUUAACAUUGAGUCAGUCAAAAGCCUGAGAUUGGACUCGAAACAGACAGCAGAACGUGAGAAUUAACUCAGAACCGGAGACAGCCGACAUAUGUCGGCCGAUAAAGAUGUCGGCGAUCUAUCUGGUAGGCCAGUGCACACGCAGUACUUGGAGUGCUUAUCGCCAAGAUAAACCCAGCAUAAAGGGGCAGUUCUAUUUCGGUUUAGUCUACACUUCCAACAGAGGCUACUAUAGCUUGGGGCGAGUUAACCCUUUAGUGCCUGUUUGCAGUUCAAAAGUGGGACAACAAGAAAUUACAUUCGUAGCGGCAGUUUUCAGGCAAAGGACGGAUUUUGAAGGACUAAACCUACUUGGAACUUGAUGGCACUUACGUUCUCUGCUGUCGACAUGGCUGAAAGCGAAAUAUCCAGGAUAAACGC